ACUUCUUUAAGUAGAAGUAGGUUGUCAGUAAUAUUUAGCCAGUAUAUAUAUUUUUCUUUUUCUUUUACCUAACAUAAUAAUGGAUGUUGUAUUUUGCAUUUUUCCUUAUCGUCACAGAAAUUGUUAUGAUAAUAAUUUCAAUGAAGAAUAUUCAAAAUUCAGCAUGGGAUCCAGUGCAUAAAUAUGAGCUCAUGGAGAAUCCAGGGCAUCUCAGGGAGCCUGGCUGAGAAGACUGUGCAUGAGUCAACCACAAGGCAGUAAGGACAUGGAGAGUCCUGGGACCAGAGCUGUCAUUAACAAACACAGCAGAGCAGUUCAUUCAUUUAACUAACAUAUGCAAACUUUACUCCUGCAGUGUGUAGCCAUAAACCAGAGAUGUCUCAUCCCUCACUUUAAUCAUAUGCAAGUCCAUUAUGCAUAGACGGAAGACGAAGGAUGGAAGUUGUCUAGGUGUGAACCAAAUACUGACCUCUCCCUCAAAGGUAUCUUCUUUGACAUGAGAAGACUGAACAGUCAGUCAAGGAUACUGAAAACUUAGGUUACUCCUGGCCUAGUACAGAGAUCUUAGCAGCCACCACCAACAGCUCCAGCUUCAAAAUAACACUCUGGUCUUAUCAGAUUGACUCCAACCACAUCCUCAUACAGAUGAAGGCCAGCUUCAUCUGUGUGCCACCUUUAAUGAUUUCCAAG
rnacentral:lncRNA from 1 species